rnacentral:rRNA from 1 species
GACGAACGCUGGCGGCGUGCUUAACACAUGCAAGUCGAACGGAAAGGCCCUGCUUUUGUGGUGUGCUCGAGUGGCGAACGGGUGAGUAACACGUGAGUAACCUGCCCUUGACUUUGGGAUAACUUCAGGAAACUGGGGCUAAUACCGGAUAUGAGCUCACGCUGCAUGGUGGGGGUGGGAGAGUUUGGGUGGUUGGGGAUGGACUCGCGGCGUAUCAGCUUGUUGGUGGGGUAGUGGCUUACCAAGGCUUUGACGGGUAGCGGGCCUGAGAGGGUGAGCGGACACAUUGGGACUGAGAUACGGCCCGGACUCCUCCGGGAGGCAGCAGUGGGGAAUAUUGCACAGUGGGCGGAAGCCUGAUGCAGCACCGCCGCGUGCGGGAUGACGGCAUUCGGGUUGUAUUCCGCUUUCGCCUGUGACGAAGCGUGAGUGACGGUAAUGGGUAAAGAAGCACCGGCUAACUACGUG